GGCCAUGUCAAUCGGCAAUCGUGCACUCCUCUAUUCCAUAUAUCCACCUGUGCACACGAAGUAGGCAUAUGGAUUGAGUUCCGUUGCCUAUGCUUUUUCUCAUUCACACCUGUGAAAGAUUGUAUUAUGUUCAUAAAAUAAAUGACAACUUUCAACAAUGGAUCUCUUGGUUCUCGCAUCGAUGAAGAACGCAGCGAAUUGCGAUAUGUAAUGUGAAUUGCAGAAUUCAGUGAAUCAUCGAAUCUUUGAACGCAUCUUGCGCCCUUUGGUUACUCCGAAGGGCAUGCCUGUUUGAGAGUCAUUAUUAAUCUCAAACUUCAGAGUUUUUCUUUAGACUUUGAAGGUUUGGAUGUUGGAGGGUUAUGCUGGCAUUUGUUGUUGGCUCCUCUUAAAUGCAUUAGCAGGGAAAAACCAUUCAAGGAUGACCUUGGCUCUGGUUUGAUAAUAUCUAUGCCAUUGCUAAGGAAGUCGGAAAGAGUUUUUUCAAGCUUCCAACUUGUCUCGAUAGACACUUUUGAAACUUGACCUCAAAUCAGGUAGGACUACCCGCUGAA
rnacentral:rRNA from 1 species